GACGAACCGUGCGAACGGUGUUCGGAAUCACUGGGCUUAAAGGGUGCGUAGGCGGGUUGUCCAGUCUGGGGUGAAAUCCCACGGCUCAACCGUGGAACUGCCUCAGAUACUGACGACCUCGAGGGAGGUAGGGGCGAGCGGAACUGUGGGUGGAGCGGUGAAAUGCGUUGAUAUCCACAGGAACUCCGGUGGCGAAGGCUGCUCGCUGGACCUCUGCUGGCGCUGAGGCACGAAAGCUAGGGGAGCAAACGGG
rnacentral:rRNA from 1 species